rnacentral:sRNA from 1 species
AGCCGGUGAGGCGGGAGGGGCGGGAUCACAGCGAGCGUUCCAAUGGCCCUCGAGGCUGGCCACGGUGGACUCCGGCAGCCAAUGAGCAGCAGGCGGGGAGGCGUGGCGGGGCGCUGUUGCAAAGCCUCCAACGUGGGCCAGCAGGCGGCCGCGGGGUGCGGAGCCUAGGGGAAACCUGAGUUACAACAAACUCUCUGAGAUUGACCCUGCUGGUUUUGAGGACCUGCCGAAUCUACAGGAAGUGUACCUCAAUAAUAAUGAGUUGACAGCGGUACCAUCCCUGGGCGCUGCUUCAUCACAUGUCGUCUCUCUCUUUCUGCAGCACAAUAAGAUUCGCAGCGUGGAGGGGAGCCAGCUGAAGGCCUACCUUUCCUUAGAAGUGUUAGAUCUGAGUUUGAACAACAUCACGGAAGUGCGGAACACCUGCUUUCCACACGGACCGCCUAUAAAGGAGCUCAACCUGGCGGGCAAUCGGAUUGGCACCCUGGAAUUGGGAGCAUUUGAUGGUCUGUCACGGUCGCUGCUAACUCUUCGCCUGAGCAAAAACAGGAUCACCCAGCUUCCUGUAAGAGCAUUCAAGCUACCCAGGCUGACACAACUGGACCUCAAUCGGAAUCGGAUUCGGCUGAUAGAGGGCCUCACCUUCCAGGGGCUCAACAGCUUGGAGGUGCUGAAGCUUCAGCGAAACA